rnacentral:rRNA from 1 species
GGACUACUGGGGUAUCUAAUCCUGUUUGCUCCCCACGCUUUCGAGCCUCAGCGUCAGUAAUGAGCCAGUGUGUCGCCUUCGCCACUGGUGUUCUUCCGAAUAUCUACGAAUUUCACCUCUACACUCGGAGUUCCACACACCUCUCUCAUACUCAAGAUCGCCAGUAUUGAAGGCAGUUCCGAGGUUGAGCCCCGGGCUUUCACCCCCAACUUAACGAUCCGCCUACGCUCCCUUUACGCCCAGUAAUUCCGAGCAACGCUAGCCCCCUUCGUAUUACCGCGGCGGCUGGCAC